rnacentral:rRNA from 1 species
UACGUAGGGGGCAAGCGUUGUCCGGAAUCAUUGGGCGUAAAGAGCGUGUAGGCGGCUCGAUAAGUCUGCUGUGAAAGUCCAGGGCUCAACCCUGGAAGGCCGGUGGAAACUGUCGGGCUAGAGUCCGGAAGAGGCGAGUGGAAUUCCCGGUGUAGCGGUGAAAUGCGCAGAUAUCGGGAGGAACACCAGUGGCGAAAGCGGCUUCCUGGUCCAGCACCGACGUUCAGGCACGAAAGCGUGGGGAGCAAACAGG